AUAUAUAAACCUAUGAACCUUGAAGGGGAUUUGCAUGACUAUAGCUUUGAUAAUAUGUUAUAAAUGUUUCCGCUGCUUUCGUAUAUCAAAAUUGUUUUGGAUAUGCAUGAUAGUCAUUUAGAAAUCCCAUGCUAGAAUCUCAUAGAUUUCCCUUCAAGUGGUAUCAGAGCCAAAGGUUUAUGUAUAAUGUGUCCCUUUGGAUUUUAUGCUUAUGGGUAUUAAUGUUAUGUAUGACAUAUUAUUGUUUCAUUCAAAGUAUGUUUAUCUUUUGUUUUUCAAUAGUUGAAAAAUGUUAGUCAAUAGUUGAGAAAGGUAUGGAUGCAAAGGGUGUUUUGUAUGCAUGAAUGAAAAAUGAGUUUAGAACUAGUUUGACAUAUUAUUUCUUCAUUUAAAGUAUGUUUAUCUUUUGUUUUUCAAUGGUUGAAAAAUAUAAAUCAAGAGUUGAAAAGAUAUGCAUGUAAAAGUUGUUUUGUAUGCAUGAAUGAAGAAUAAGUCAUGAACAAAAUUUGGGGUUUUGAACCAAAGGGAUGGCACGGUUUUGGGGGUGGUUUUGGGUUGUGUUUGUGUUUUAUUGUAAACCACACUCACAUCCUUUUAAAGCUAGAAAGAAGAAACCUUGUCACUUUUGUUUUUGGGUUUGAAAAAAUCACCAAGAAUACACAAAUCUUGAAAAAGUGUUCAUGGUUUUGUUCUUGGUGUUCAUAGUUUGGUUUUUGAUGAAAAUGGUUUUAAUGCAUUGUUUUGUGGUUUUGGGUGAUGUUCAUACCAUCAAUAACCAUAUCAUAUACUUAUAAAACCCUAGACUUGACUAGGAGAUUUCCAUCAAACCUUUUCACCUAAGUUUUAAAUGCCAAAACCAAGUGACAAGCAAAAUUUUGAUUUUUCUACUUUGCAUUGAAUUAAAGCAUGUGGGUGAGACUUCCCAUUCCCCCAUUAAGUGGCCGGCCUCCCUAGUGGAUUUAUCCACUUGUGGGGCUAUUUUGUAAUCUUUGAAAAGUUGAUAUUUACUUUGAAAUAUUUACGGUUUUAGCCCUAACUUUCAUAUUUACAUUUAGGCCCCUACUAACUAGAAAGUUAAAAUAUUUGAUUUUAAUUUUGUUAGUUGUUUAAACUCAUAAUAUUAUUAUACCCAUAUGCACUAAAUCUAAAUGUUUAUGUUGCAUUCCUCAAUAAUUAUUUAAAUGUGUUUAAGUAGUUAUGAAAUGGAUGACUUUGGACUUAUGCCUUAAACGAUAAUUGAGCUAUAU
rnacentral:lncRNA from 1 species